GUAUGUGAAGGGCUGGAAUGAGCAGCUGCCAGAGGGCCCUGCCUUUACAAGCUCGUGUUUUUUAAUGAAGUCGGUGAAGCCUCCAGUGCUAUGAUAGCACUUUAACCCACUGUUAAUGGUCAGAAUUCCUCAGGUCAGAAACAAAUUAUUUGUAAUCCCUGAGCUUUUUCAGGUUUCAUGCUAAGGUACGUGUGAGCAGGUUUGGUGUCACGGGGCAAAGACAAGGUGUACCAUGAAUCUAUGCUACAUCUCAGAGAGCUCAAAAUGCAAAAGUCACAGUCUGUAGCGAAGCUCUGGAGCUAAAAUACGUGAAAGCAGCUGUCAGAUCCCCUUCCCUCUGUUCUCCCCAUCCUUCUUCAUGAUCCAGAAAAUUGAAGUUUAUCGAAUUAAAGUUUUAGUAUGUGCUUCCUUAGAAAACAAAACAGAGCCACGGUAAUACUCACUGCCUAUAGACAAUCCAUAAUGAAAUGUUUUCGUUUAGGCUCUCUGCCAUCAAUUUAAGAACAGGGAUCCUGUGGGAGCUCAGGGAAACACAAGCCUGACAAAUAUCCUCACUUCUGCUAGUUGGAUUAUUUCCUCCGAGCAGCAACUGAGCUCAUAUUUGGUGCUAUUCCAUUUCUACAGCGAAGGCGAGAGAACGCCACAAGGUGGGAGCGAGGCAGCUGCCCUGAAAACAACGCCGUGGCACACAUGUAGGGGAAAACGACCCUUUGAACAGGUGGGAGAAGCAGUACUCACACUGGGCUGCUUUCCUGUGACCUUUCAUCCACGCUUCUUCCUCCAGGGAGCUCCAACUCUUCCUUGAUCAAAAGAGGAUCUAACCCAGGAGGACCGGAGGACUCCGAGUAGGGGAAAGCACAGCUCAGUCUGAAAGGUUAUGUGGAUUGUAAAACAAGUUAUACGAGAGAUCAUGAAACUAUAGAACCUCAAAGGAACCACUGUGUUUUUUCUGCUGGUGUAUGGAUCCCCUUUCUGCCUGGAUCACAUGAAAGUGUUCUAUUAAUGUGAAUUGGCUUAUGUUUGAGAACACUAUGCUGGAGAGCUAUGAAGUGCAAGGAAUCUGACCCAGGGAUCUGCAGGGCUGUGACACAUCAGUUCUUUACAGGAAUUCUCAGUUGCUGGUUGAGAAUAACACAAGAUAGGUCCCGUACAUGGCGUGCAGUCUGCUGUCAUUGUUGAUGUUAGUAAACCUUUUGCCUAAGGCAGUGAGACGAGCUCCUGAUACGCCAUUGUAACUGGAAUUUCCCCCUCUAGCAGUCACUGCAGGACUAUAAGUAGGCAGUGUCAGGCUGCCUCUCCACCCAGCUAACUCAGUAAGUUGGGAAAACCAUUCCUCACUAACACACACAGCCACUGCAUGGCUGCAAGUGAUAGCUGCCUCAAGAAAAACACUGCAAGUCAGCACUGCUCGCCGUGUUUCCUGAGGAAUGCUUUGCUGGAGUUCAGAACAAACAUUCGAGGUCUGGGAACGCUACGAGAGUGCCUGGCAGAAGAAAAGCCUCCUGCCACCAUUCCAUUCGAAACCCCUUUGCCAGUGUUUAGUCUUCUCUCACCCACACGCUUGGCAAGGAGGGAGAGCAGCCCGUCUCUUCUCCCUGCCGAUAAGAUGGAGCUCUCAGCCCGCUUGUCUGAACGCAGCAGUUGAAGGAAGACGCACAACUGGGUUUUGUUUUGCUCCAGAGGGAGCAAGUCUGACCUAUUUUACACACAGGCGCAACAUCACCUUCGUGAUUCUUUUAGGAAAAUACAUGCCACUGCAGCAUAGGUGACUUAGCUAUAAAAUCCCACACCAGGGGUGGGAGAGAAAAGAAAGGAAAGCCACACCAAUCACCAAAGUGACUUUAAGUAGAACACAUCUUCUGUUCCAUCAUGCCCCUGAAAGAUCCUCCCUUGGAAUACGUUAUUUCAGACAGGAAAAAGGUGUUCCUUUCUUCAGAGAUGAAGUUGCGUGCCUUUAGCCACAUGUAAUAGAAACAUAAUGGGUUCAGUGCAACGGGCGAAGAAAUGACUGAGUUGUUAGUAUAAAGCCAAUCACAGAAGCACUUCGGUCUCACUUCACUGUUUGCACAGUGUUGGCAACGUCUGAAGGGUGAUAACUGCCAGAGACUGCUAUAAGGAAAAGGGGAUUCCUAUGGAUUUUCUGGGAAGAGAGGAAUUACUGCCAUACCAGAAGUUCAGCGUCGAAAUAACUGCACAGUUAUGCACCAUAUUGUGGUCACAACUCCACAGAGCACUAACUGCCUUCUUCUUGUUGUUGUUGUUGCAAAAACACGUUCUGCAUUUGAUUUUAAUUCCUUUGCUUCUCCAUUAGAAACGCAUUGGCCGGACCACCAAGGCAGCAGCAGUCUGGCUAUUCUCCACUCCGAUGCACCACUGACGUCUGUGUAUAUGUGUAUGUGUAUAUGUGCAUGUGUAUAUUUCAUGUUCCUGCUUUCAAAGCUCUGGUCUGUAUUUUUUAUUUCAAAAUAAAUUGCUCUUUGAAUGUAAUGAGAAAGUGGAAGGCAUUGGGUGUUUUAGUCUGUGCCAAGCAGGACUCUCACGUGUUAAUGGAGCAACAGGGCGUCACUCUUUCACUUAAUGAAACAUUCCAAAUCAAUGAAG
ensembl:lncRNA